rnacentral:rRNA from 1 species
AUGUUAGUACAACGUCUCUGGCAGGCAUACUCCCGUCGUUGUAUCAAUACUCACGAGCCGUCUCUCUUAAAUCGAUCCCUGCUGGGAGGUUUUCCAAGUUUCUUCGUUGAUCAAUCGACCCUGCACGGCGAGGAUCAGGAGCUAUUCAUGGGUUCAUUUUGGCUGGAGAAGAAGGUCGUGGAGAAUGUCAGUUUAUGGGUGACCCGUUGCUCGGUCCUCUUGAGCUUCGGGGCGCAUCUUGUCCUCGCGCUCCUCGCCGGUAUCCGACGGCGUGAAGACAACCGCGUGCAGAGGUUUCCGCUGUGGCUGGCGUAUCAGGUGGCUGACCUGGCCCCGAAAUUGGCCAUCGGCAAGCUGUACCCUGACAGCCCGUCAAGCAGCAAUCAGCUGUUCGCGUUCUGGGUGCCCUUCAUGCUGCUGCACCUCGGUCUCACGGACAACAUCAGUGCCUACUCCCUGGAGGACAACAAGCUGUCGUGGCGCCAAAUGGUGGAGAUGGGCCUGCUACUCGUUGUAGCGUUGAUUGGCGCAUACAACCAAAGAUUUCUGAGCGGCGACAGGGCUUUGUGCUCGGCGUUCGUCACGAUGUUCUUCCUGGGUUUCUAUAAGUAUGCGGAGAGGAUAUGGACGCUACGCCAUGCUGGCUUCGCCCGCAUCCGUAGCUCCUACAACGAGAAGAGGGCAAUGCGGUUCAGUCCUCAUCAGGUCGAGCUCGAGGCCGACGAGCUGGAUUAUAGUCCUCAUCAGGUCGAGACCGCCAAGCUGGAUUAUCCUCAUCGGAUCGUCGAGACCGCCGAGCUUGAUUAUUAUGACGCCUUGUGUGACGCUCACGGCCUGCUCGGUAUCUCCAUGGGCGCCUUUGCAGAUUAUGCAGUCAAGCUCAGCGAGAAUCCACAAGAAGAUGAUUUCAGGACAUGGUAUACCUACAGGAGGGAUGUUGUGAAGGUGGUGGAGAUGGAGCUCUCGCUCAUGUAUGACAUCAUGUACACCAAGGCAGCAGUGGUCCACACUUGGCCUGGCUACAUCAUCCGUAUCGCCUCGCCGCCCAUCACUCUCGCCGCCCUCUUGCUGUUUAUCAUCUUCCACAUUAAAGAGGGCCACAGGCACAAGGGGAUAGAUAUCACGAUCACUUACACCCUGCUGAUUGGCACCUUGCUGUUGGAUGUGAGAUGGCUGCUCAGAGCUCUGGGCUCGACCUGGACAUACGCAUUCUUGAAAGAUACAAACUGCAAGCUGCUCAAGUACAAGGCAGUUUGCUGCCAGAGAGGGUGGUGGUAUGUGCUCCGUCGCUUCGUUCUCUAUCUGGAUCUGUCCAGUCGUCUGUGGCGUCAAAAGGAAAGUAGCCAAUUCGCAAAAAGGAAGAAGGAAAGUAGCCACAGGCUUUGGUCGCGCACCAUCGGGCAGCACAACUUGUUGCACGAGUGCACUGUUGGCACACCGAUGAACAAAAUUGGAUGGAAGGGCCACUCUGACCGUGAGAGCGUCGGGGUCGAGUCAUUGCUACAAUUGUUAUGUAAAUUCGUAUUGCCGAAGGAAUAUUUGGUGGCCUGGAAACCAGAUGAAAGGAACCCUCAAAGUUAUGUUAGGGGUCGGACAUACGGCGAGCCAAGGCUCUUUGAUGCUGAAUUUGAUCAGCUGGUCAUCACGUGGCACAUUGCCACUGACAUCUUCCUCUUGGGCAUACCCGACCUUGAACAAGGAUCUGACUCUGACCCUCUGAAUAUCAAGGCACUAUCAGAGCAUAUCAAGGCGCUAUCAGAUUACAUGUUGUUUCUCGUCGUUAAACGCCCGGAAAUGUUACCAAGCCUUAAACUCCAAAGGAAAUACAAAGAAGUCCGUGAUGAACUGAAGAAUAUCUCCAACCGUAGUGGUAGUACAGACAAAGGGAAUCUUGCCAGAGCACUACGAGAGAUGCAGAAGCACAGGAUCGAGGGAUUGCCUGAGGUUCUCCAGGACGCUAUUAAAUACGCCAAGCUGCUGGAGAAGCUAUGUCUUCCGCCUCGGCAGAACCAAAAGAGUUAUGAUAAGGACUGGAGCAGAAUUGUCAGCGAAGUUGGGAUGCAUGUUCUAGAUCCAUCGGUGAGUAGACUUCUAAUUUUGGUCACAGAAUUCCAGAAAUAUGCACAACCACCACCACAACUUGGUAAGCUUCCUGUGCUUUUGGGCUGGCAAUUGGAAUGGGUGUUAGAGGACUUCGUCCUCCAACCAUGGAUCCAUUUGCUCGUCUUCGGGUCCAUUCGCUGCAGCAGGGAUUCACACGCCAAGCAGCUCAGCAACGGCGGUGAGCUCACAACGAUCAUCUGGAUCCUAGCUGAACACAAAAGUAUAGUCGAUGUAUCGCAAAACAUUAUCCAGCCCCACGAUCUAUGGACAAGGCCAUCCAUGUUAUCAUAG